AAGCUCAUCAUACUAUGUGAAGGUCUUGGAUUUUCCUUGAAAAGGAAAUUAGCUUAAGAUAUAUAAAUAUAUGACUCCUUUCCCCAUCCUAUUUUCUGGGUAACUCAUUGCAGUAGCACCAGAGGGAAAAUCCAUAUUUUUGAUCCCCUGUGCUGUAGCUGAAUUAGUUGCUACUGAUGCUCCAGUUUUGAAACCACAUGCUUCAUCCUCAUUCCAGGAACUCUUGUUGGUUGUCCAGAUGUCUAGGUUUUCAGGAAUUCACCAUAUCCAUCCAGAGUGUUGAGGUUUCCAUAACUCUCAUAACUUGGACCUCUCUAUUGUUACUAUCUUUCAGAGUGAGAGCUUAUACAACUGAUUUUCCAUAGCUAAGCCCAGGAACUUGUAGUCCAGGAACUUUUCCUCUCCUGUCAAGGUGCCUUCCUUCCCCAGGGAAGCCCCGGUGCUCUGCAAAUAUGCGUGACCACAUGUUUCCAUAACAUGGAUACUCUCAUCUCCAUCUUGCUGAGGGGGAAACUGAGGCCCAGAGAAGAUAUUGUUUCUGAAAUCCUGAUAAGCUUCCAGUGUUGUGAUCCAGUAGUCAAAGUGGACAGCCUUCUAAUGGGUUGUGAGGAGUUCUGGAAAAGAGACUGGAUGACCAGGAGUGACUGGGAAAUCUCCUUCCCUCAAAGAUGCUGCUCCAAAGAGAAAACAAAAUGAGUUAAUCCCACCGCUGUCUGAAAGGGUGACAGAAGAGAAGAGAUCACCCAAGAAGUAGGUAAGGAUUUGUGGAAGGGAAGGACCCAAGGGAAAUUCUGUGCUUCUGUGACCCUCAGGGUCCUAAAGCUGGGGAGGUCUCCAACCAGACAAGUAAGGCUUUCUUGUCCAGGUCCUACGGUAAGGACUGAUGGCACCACUGAUCUGGAGACACUCGCCUGCUCCCUUGGCAGUUUUUCCUUUCUG
rnacentral:lncRNA from 1 species